rnacentral:pre_miRNA from 1 species
AAUGUUUGACGCCAUUGACUUUUUAGCACAUGUUUGACCAUUCGUCUUAUUCAAAAAAUUUAAGUAAUUAUUAAUUCUUUUCCUAUCAUUUGAUUCAUUGUUAAAUAUAUUUUUAUGUAGGCAUAUAAUUUUACAUAUUUCACAAAAGAUUUUGAAUAAGAUGAACGGUCAAACAUGUGCUAAAAAGUUAACGGUGUCAAAUAUU